UUAUGGCCAUAUCAUGUUGAAACACUAGUUCUGAUAUAAUCACCAAAGUUAAGCAAUGUUGAGCCUGGUCAGUACUAGAAUUGGUAACCAAUUGGGAAUACCAGAUGCUGUAAG